GAUGAACGCUGGCGGCGUGCUUAACACAUGCAAGUCGAACGGGUGGCGAACGGGUGAGUCACACGUGGGUGAUCUGCCCUGUACUUCGGGAUAAGCUUGGGAAACUGGGUCUAAUACCGGAUAGUAUGGGAUGAGCUCGCGGCCUAUAAGCUGUUUGGGGGGGUGAUGGCGACCAAGGCGCGACGGGUAGCCGGCCUGAGAGGGUGUACGGCCACAUUGGGACUGAGGUACGGCCCAGACUCCGACGGGAGGGAGCAGUGGGGAAUAUUGCACGAUGGGGGCAAGCCUGAUGCAGCGACGCCGCGUGGGGGAUGAAGGCCUUCGGGUUGUAAACUCCUUUCGCUAGGGACGCUGGAGAAGAAGCACCGGGUAACUACGUGGCAGCAAGCGCGGGAAUAC
rnacentral:rRNA from 1 species